rnacentral:rRNA from 1 species
ACGAUGAAAGUUCUAGCUUGCUAGAGUGCUGAUUAGUGGCGCACGGGUGAGUAACGCAUAGGUCAUGUGCACUCUUAGUUUGGGAUAGCCAUUGGAAACGAUGAUUAAUACCAGAUACUCCCUACGGGGGAAAGAUUUAUCGCUAAGAGAUCAGCCUAUGUCCUAUCAGCUUGUUGGUAAGGUAAUGGCUUACCAAGGCUAUGACGGGUAUCCGGCCUGAGAGGGUGAACGGACACACUGGAACUGAGACACGGUCCAGACUCCUACGGGAGGCAGCAGUAGGGAAUAUUGCUCAAUGGGGGAAACCCUGAAGCAGCAACGCCGCGUGGAGGAUGAAGGUUUUAGGAUUGUAAACUCCUUUUGUUAGAGAAGAUAAUGACGGUAUCUCACGAA